rnacentral:rRNA from 1 species
AGUGAACGCUGGCGGUAGGCCUAACACACGCAAGUCGAACGGCAGCACAGUAAGAGCUUGCUCUUACGGGUGGCGAGUGGCGGACGGGUGAGGAAUACAUCGGAAUCUACUUUUUCGUGGGGGAUAACGUAGGGAAACUUACGCUAAUACCGCAUACGACCUACGGGUGAAAGCAGGGGAUCUUCGGACCUUGCGCGAUUGAAUGAGCCGAUGUCGGAUUAGCUAGUUGGCGGGGUAAAGGCCCACCAAGGCGACGAUCCGUAGCUGGUCUGAGAGGAUGAUCAGCCACACUGGAACUGAGACACGGUCCAGACUCCUACGGGAGGCAGCAGUGGGGAAUAUAGGACAAUGGGCGCAAGCCUGAUCCAGCCAUACCGCGUGGGUGAAGAAGGCCUUCGGGUUGUAAAGCCCUUUUGUUGGGAAAGAAAAGCAGCAGGUUAAUACCCCGCUGUUCUGACGGUACCCAAAGAAUAAGCACCGGCUAACUUCGUG